AGGCAUGGUACAAGUAAUAUGAAGAUCAGAGUUGUUUUCUCCUGUAGCUUCCAUCAGAGUUAUACAAUUUGAACUAGUCACAUUCUGUGCUGGAUCCUGCAAUAGUAAGACAAUAUUGUAAACUCUAUCAGAAGCAAAUAUAUAAAUGAAAUAACACUUUAUAUAAAUUUGCUGCAUCUGAAGUGCUUUUGAAAAAACCAAAAAUUUGAAAGCUAAAAGAUGUUUAAGUACCUAAACAUGUGGAGUGCUCAACUAAAAUAAAUAGCCACAUCUAUCUAAAGUCAACUUUGCCUGAAGGAGUUGGAACCUUUUCUAAUAACUGUACAAGGUUAUUGUUUCUCAUCCUCAUAAAUAUCAUAAAUGUUCAAUUCAACGUAGAAAUACAAAAAAUCAGUUAGUGACGCCAAAUUAAAUUAUAUAUGCCACACUCUGACAUAGUAUAAACAUAAAAUAUUUAACAUUGACCCUAAAACAUUGUCCACAAAAUAAUUUUAUUUUUACAGUCAAAUCAGUUAUUAAGGUUACUUCUUUUAAGUAUAAACCUGUUUGGCAGGUCACCCUCUAACAGUCCAGAUGUAGUAAUACAUAGGCAUUAAGUAUAAACCUGUUUGGCAGGUCACCCUCUAACAGUCCAGAUGUAGUAAUACAUAGGCAUUAAGUAUAAACCUGUUUGGCAGGUCACCCUCUAACAGUCCAGAUGUAGUAAUACAUAGGCAUUAAGUAUAAACCUGUUUGGCAGGUCACCCUCUAACAGUCCAGAUGUAGUAAUACAUAGGCAUUAAGUAUAAACCUGUUUGGCAGGUCACCCUCUAACAGUCCAGAUGUAGUAAUACAUAGGCAUUAAGUAUAAACCUGUUUGGCAGGUCACCCUCUAACAGUCCAGAUGUAGUAAUACAAAGGCAUUAAGUAUAAACCUGUUUGGCAGGUCACCCUCUAACAGUCCAGAUGUAGUAAUACAAAGGCAUUUUGAACUUCAAUUCAAUGAUCACCUCUCUUAUAAUGUCAUCUUUCUUUGGUCCUGUGGAUGACCUUUAUGUACUAGUUUUUUUAUUGCAUCAUUCACUGUAAGUAAAGGUACCUUUCUAUCACUUUUCUGAAAGUCUUUUCGAGAUUGUUAAUAUGUAAUGU